AAAAGAUAAGCUAAAUAAGCUAGUGGGGCUCAUACCCCAUCAGUGUGAGUUCACCCUCUCUCUUUUUA
rnacentral:tRNA from 1 species